rnacentral:rRNA from 1 species
CUUUUAUGGAGAGUUUGAUCCUGGCUCAGGACGAACGCUGGCGGCGUGCCUAAUACAUGCAAGUCGAGCGGACCAA